GCACAAGCGGUGGAUGAUGUGGAUUAAUUCGAUGCAACGCGAAAAACCUUACCUACCCUUGACAUGUCCGGAAUCCCGGAGAGAUUCGGGAGUGCUCGCAAGAGAACCGGAACACAGGUGCUGCAUGGCUGUCGUCAGCUCGUGUCGUGAGAUGUUGGGUUAUGUCCCGCAACGAGCGCAACCCUUGUCAUUAGUUGCCAUCAUUCAGUUGGGCACUCUAAUGAGACUGCCGGUGACAAACCGGAGGAAGGUGGGGAUGACGUCAAGUCCUCAUGGCCCUUAUGGGUAGGGCUUCACACGUCAUACAAUGGUCGGUACAGAGGGUUGCCAACCCGCGAGGGGGAGCCAAUCCCACAAAGCCGAUCGUAGUCCGGAUUGGAGUCUGCAACUCGACUCCAUGAAGUCGGAAUCGCUAGUAAUCGUGGAUCAGCAUGUCACAGUGAAUACGCUCCCGGGUCUUGUACACACCG
rnacentral:rRNA from 1 species